rnacentral:rRNA from 1 species
CACGGUGGAUGCCUUGGCACUAGGAGCCGAAGAAGGACGGGACUAACACCGAUAUGCUUUGGGGAGCUGUACGUAAGCGUUGAUCCAGAGAUUUCCGAAUGGGGGAACCCACUAUCUUUAGUCGGAUAGUAUCCUUACGUGAAUACAUAGCGUGAGGAAGGCAGACCCAGGGAACUGAAACAUCUAAGUACCUGGAGGAAGAGAAAGAAAAAUCGAUUUCCUGAGUAGCGGCGAGCGAAACGGAAAGAGCCCAAACCAAGAAGCUUGCUUCUUGGGGUUGUAGGACACUCUAUACGGAGUUACAAAAGAAAGUUAUAAAUGAAGCGGUCUGGAAAGGCCCGCCAAAGACGGUAACAGCCCGGUAGUUGAAAUGGCUUUCCCUCCAGAGUGGAUCCUGAGUACGGCGGAACACGUGAAAUUCCGUCGGAAUCCGGGAGGACCAUCUCCCAAGGCUAAAUACUCCCUAGUGACCGAUAGUGAACCAGUACCGUGAGGGAAAGGUGAAAAGCACCCCGGAAGGGGAGUGAAACAGUUCCUGAAACCGUGUGCCUACAAGUAGUUAGAGCCCGUUAAUGGGUGAUAGCGUGCCUUUUGUAGAAUGAACCGGCGAGUUACGAUUUGUUGCAAGGUUAAGCGGAAAAAGCGGAGCCGUAGCGAAAGCGAGUCUGAAUAGGGCGCAUAAGUAACAGGUCGUAGACCCGAAACCAGGUGAUCUACCCAUGUCCAGGAUGAAGGUAAGGUAAUACUUACUGGAGGUCCGAACCCACGCACGUUGAAAAGUGCGGGGAUGAGGUGUGGGUAGCGGAGAAAUUCCAAUCGAACUUGGAGAUAGCUGGUUCUCUCCGAAAUAGCUUUAGGGCUAGCCUCGAGGUAAAGAGUCAUGGAGGUAGAGCACUGUUUGGACUAGGGGCCCUUCUCGGGUUACCGAAUUCAGAUAAACUCCGAAUGCCAUGUACUUAUACUCGGGAGUCAGACUGCGAGUGAUAAGAUCCGUAGUCGAAAGGGAAACAGCCCAGACCACCAGUUAAGGUCCCCAAAUAUAUGUUAAGUGGAAAAGGAUGUGGGGUUGCUUAGACAACCAGGAUGUUGGCUUAGAAGCAGCCACCAUUGAAAGAGUGCGUAAUAGCUCACUGGUCGAGUGACCCCGCGCCGAAAAUGUACCGGGGCUAAACAUAUUACCGAAACUGUGGAUGAACCUCUUUAGAGGUUCGUGGUAGGAGAGCGUUCUAAGGGCGGUGAAGUCAGACCGGAAGGACUGGUGGAGCGCUUAGAAGUGAGAAUGCCGGUAUGAGUAGCGAAAGAAGGGUGAGAAUCCCUUCCACCGAAUAUCUAAGGUUUCCUGAGGAAGGCUCGUCCGCUCAGGGUUAGUCGGGACCUAAGCCGAGGCCGAUAGGCGUAGGCGAUGGACAACAGGUAGAGAUUCCUGUACCAGUGCUAAUUGUUUAACCGAUGGGGUGACACAGAAGGAUAGGGAAUCGCACGAAUGGAAAUGUGCGUCCAAGCAGUGAGUGUGAGAAGUAGGCAAAUCCGCUUCUCGCGAAGCAUGAGCUGUGAUGGGGAAGGAAAUUAAGUACGGAAGUUCCUGAUUUCACGCUGUCAAGAAAAGCCUCUAGGAAGAGUAGUACUGCCCGUACCGCAAACCGACACAGGUAGAUGAGGAGAGA